rnacentral:rRNA from 1 species
UACGUAGGGCGCAAGCGUUGUCCGGAAUCAUUGGGCGUAAAGAGCUCGUAGGCGGCCUGUUGCGUCCGCUGUGAAAUCCCGGGGCUUAACCCCGGGCGUGCAGUGGAUACGGGCAGACUAGAGGCAUGCAGGGGAGAACGGAAUUCCUGGUGUAGCGGUGAAAUGCGCAGAUAUCAGGAGGAACACCGGUGGCGAAGGCGGUUCUCUGGGCAUGUCCUGACGCUGAGGAGCGAAAGUGUGGGGAGCGAUCAGG